CUGAGACAUCUUGAAGUGUCAGAUUUUGAUCCAUCGAUUUGACCGAAGUGUCAGAUUUUGAUUGAUCGAUUUUGACCUUUUUGACCUGGCACAAGGGCAGGGGGCGUGGUACUUGUCACUUUAGAGUUUGAGAAGUUGUGCAUAGAUCCAUCUCUCUCUAGGCUCAUUAAUUUUUCCCUCUGUACCGCAGUGUAAAAUGUUCGUAUCUUUAUAAACAAAGAUUUGCAUUCAAAAGUGCGCCAUCAAACGAAAUGCGCGAUUCACAACGUCAUGGUAUGCGACGGGCGUUCCUGGCGGCAGUUGCAGUUUUCCUUCUGAGGUAAGAGCAUGCGUGCAUGGUUAAGAGAGUAAAAAGAAAAAAAUAGGACUAAAAUCUGCGCCACAAAAACUGAUAGAAUCAGCCCAAAUGUAGCUGGUAGCCCAUUUAGAACUGUAGAGUAUCAUUCAUUUGACUGAUUUAUUUAAGGCACUGUCAUAAAUGUGCAGAGACGUAUUUUAGCCAGCUAGUAGGUCUACAGGAUGAAAAAGGCUGCGUCUUUAAAUUUCAACUUUAUUUUGGUGUAAUUUUAUUAGAAGAGCUUUGCAUAAAACUAUAAUGACCGUUGCCAUGAACAAGAAACACCUUUCAUAAAUGUUUUCGAUCAGAUUAUGAUGUAAUCUUUAAUGUGGUGUGCGAUGCCUACCUGGCAUUAAUGACUGAGAGGUGCUUUGAUGGACAUGAAGCAUUUAGACAGCCUACCCAAAAGUCUACCACACUAUUUUCCACUCCUACAACAUGUAUACCUACCGUGGUUGAUCAUAGACAGUAUACAUAUAAUGAUUAUAAUCUCUGUACAUUAGCAACAUGUAUGCAGAAUAAAAAUUGUUGAAAUAAAUACGGUUCUGUCUGAAAAAUCACAAAAAAAUAGGCUUUAAUCAUUGUUUCCACAAUUUUAGGUUAAAUUAUUACAAGUUGUAGCCUAGGCCUACUUAAAUCUAGAAGUGAUAUGCUACCACCAGAAGUUCAACAAAGUGAUCACUGAGGGGCAAGUAAUGACUGGAGGCUGUGAUUAUUUUGCACAGUGACCUAGCAUAGACCUAGCCUACAUAUACCUUCAAAUGAAAUGGUACCUUUUAUCUGUCAAUUAUGAUAAUAAAAUCUGUACUGUAUCUCAUCCAGGUUUGAGUUCCCAAUUUUGCUCUCUCUUUUCUCAACAGAUCCUGCAAAUUUGUCAUCCUACCAACCCUUUCCUGUUUUAUUGAAAACAAAACAACCCAAAGGCAGCUUUUAGAGCCACGUCUUUCUUGUUAACCUGUCCUUGCUGUGUUUUACCUGUUAGCCGUUCUCUCCCUCUCUCUCACUCACUCUAACACUCUCUCUCUAUCACAGUCCCUGUCCUUACCUUUGUGUUUGUCUUAUUUGUCCAACUUUCUGUUGUCUGUCUAUCUGUCUGUUUGUCUUCAUCAUGAGCGAUUCAGAGCUCUAGGAUCUGCUCGAGAGUGCAGAUAACCUGGCUGCAAAUCUCAGCAAUGACCUGCAAGGGGUGGAUGACUUGCUUGGUGAGCUCCAGAAAGAGCAAGCUACUGCACCUCUGCCAACAAUAAGGUGGAAGAAGAGGGACAGCGAUGGCAACGUAAUCCGAAGGCCACACUCAAGCAGGCGUCAGUCUAACCAGGCUGGCUGCCGUCAGAAGACUCAUCCUCCUGUAGAUGCUCCUGACACUAACUCUGAGGUGGUCUUUGCUCCAGAGGCUAUUGAGUUACAAGAACUCCAGCAUUCAUUGUGUGAUGCCACAGGAGAUGAGAUGGAAGCACCAUCUCCAAGAGCUCCUCUGGCUUCAUCAAACUGGAGCACCAGCAAAAAUAUAUUUUCAGAAAGCUGGAGGGCAGCAAGACCACAGUGGCACUAGAAAAUGUAGAAGGCCACAUCUGCCAACAGUGUUCGAGCAAUUCCGCUGUUGUUCGUUGCUGUGAUUGCCGUCCACGCCGCUUCUUCUGUGCCAAAUGUGAUGUCAGCAUGCACACCAGACACCCCCUCCACAACAGAGAUGGCAGUACUUCGGGAUUCUUCCAGCCAUUACCCCCAACAACUUAUGUCCUGAAUAAGGCCCUUUCCCCCUGUGGUAAUUUCUGGUUUUGCGUUAUGUACCUGUGGAGAUCCCUGAAAAAAUAUGUGGUUGUCCAACAGACUCAUUGAGGAUCAAACCAGGAAAGGCUGUGGCUGUGAUCACAGUGAAUGGACGACAUGAGCUCAGCAUGCCAGAGUUGGCUUGCAGUGCAUGCAAAGCCACGUGGACUGCUGAAGUUGAGGAUGUUCUAAAGAGUUACUACUGGCCAGCUACCCUUCACUUUGCCACAAUCUAUGCCACAGAUGUUUUCUUCUCAUUUGAAGAAAUUAAAAUGUCUGCACCUGGACUGUCCUGUCAGGCAUUUUUAAAAAUGCUCGAUCAGCGAGCUGUCCGCUUUGGCCGUACUGGGAAAAUCUCAGGCGAUAGCUUCAUCAAAAGCUUCUUCGAGUGGGAGGCUGUGAGAUAUGAGGUGGACAGCCUCCGCAAGGCCUGUUGAGCGUGCAGCCCGGUCAUGCUUGCAGUUUCCAUGGAUGGAAACCGCAAGCAUGACCGUUUUAAAAACGCAGCAAGAUCUGAGGAGCAGGCCAUUUUUGAUAACCUCUUCAUAGCAAAGGAUGAAGACGUAACACAAUUUGUCAACUACAUUCACAGAACGACAAAACAUGUCUCUGGAAGAGCUGUUUGUGGUGGGGAAUGGUCGGCGGCUCGAGAGACGUCCCAAAAAUCAGCCAGCAAACUGGACGAGGAGGGACUGGAGCUGGCUGUGUGUCGGCAUGGAGUCCUCCUCUGUGCCCUCAACAUGUACAGGGGAGAAAUGUUUGCCUAUCCCCUUUUUCUACAGGAGAAGCUGGUCUACAUUCUUUUGCAUGGAUGUAGCCUGCAAGUAUUCGCCAUACCUGGAGAAAAUCAUUAGAAGCUGCCCUGAGUUUAAACAUCUGCUGGAAAUGAAGCCCUUCCUCUCGGUGUUUCAUGCAAAAGCCCAUGAUUUUAAAUGUGAAAUCAAAUGGAGUGGAGCAUUUCUGGAGGGGGCUGGGUUAACGCUUGGGGAGGAGGUGGAACAAGUGAAUGCCUUCCUCUCUAGGAUAGCAGUUACGACAAAGCAUAUGUCAAAAGCAGACUCUGUCGACCUCAGAAUGAAGAGGAGAGUUUUUGACAGUGUCAUGGCGGAACGAAGACAUCGGGAAGAAAAAACUAUCCUUUUGUCAGAGAUGAACCGCCACUGGAGGUCCUUAACAGUUUGUGGGGAUUCCUUAAAAGAGCUGUCUUCUCUGAUUACUAGGACAACAAUGCAAGAGUCACCAUGGGCUUUGACUGAAGACGGGAUGAAAGGUCUGCAGAGCAUCGCCAAACAGAAGCUGCAUCGUGUCAGAGAAAUUAUGGCUUUUGCGAGACACUGCUACCUUCAAGUUUUGACUGGAGCAGAGAACUUCCUUCAAAGCUUUUCAGAGGAAUAUUCUGACAGCAACUCUGCCUCUGACCUUGAGGAUCUGAAGUGAACGCUGCAGGGAACAGGACGUGAAUAUGAGAAGGCAGUUAUUCCUAGGUUGGAGUGAGCUGCUCCUCCUAAAGGUUCCCCGAGCUCACUCCAACCCUUCUCAUAUAGUGCCCCUAACUCAUGGAAUGUUCUGCAGAGCAACUUAAAAAUGACUGCUCUUCCUACUUUUGGUUUAUUUAAAUCUAUGAUUUCUGAAUUUUACACAUCUGACUGAACUGUUUUAGCUGAAUUCAUUGUUCAUUUAGUAUUUAUUUCAUCUUAUUUUUAUUCUUGCUCUUUUUUUCGUAUUGUAUAUACUUUCUAGAUAUAUUUUAUCAUAUUUUUUAUCCUAUUUUAUUUCUGUGUUCUCGGUUCAUUAUAUGUUAUCCUUGUAAUUGUGUUUAUUGUGUCGUCACUGUAAAUGAGGGAAACCGCUGUCUUUCGAGUGAAAAUAAAGGUUAUUGAAUGUAAGGCACAUCUUUCUCUUUUAAAAACUUUUUCGAAAAUGUGCAUUUAAUUCAUAAAUUCCUCCUUACUUUGUGUAUGUAGUAAGUCAUUCAAUUGGUUGUUUAUGACAUUAAAGCAUUUAUUGUCAUUUUAUUUCG